rnacentral:lncRNA from 1 species
AUGCAAAGCUGUUCUUCAGGCUGUCAUAUGAGACAAACAUGACUGAAAAUCAUGUGAACCAGACAUGAUGGUGGAGGUCCCCAUGAUCAGGAGCAGAUGCAACACAGGAGUAUGUCUGCAACUUGAAGACUAAGGCCAGCCAGGACUAUAUUACUAAGCACUGUCUCUGCAGGGUGUGGACUAGUCAAAAGAACUAAGGUUCCAGCUCACCUUACUAGUGAUGGAGUCUCACUGCCUUGAAUGCUCUUGUUCCCCUCUACAAUUCCUGCUUCUUUAAAUGGGUAGUGGAAAGAUUGGGUGGUUUUAAUAGCUUGUUCACUUUUAAUAGAAAAAUUUAUACUUUAUGUCAUAUCAUUUCAAACAUCAUAAGAGACAAAUAGUAAUAAUUUCUUUUGCUUACAAAAUGUAACUGUAAUUAGUGGGUUCAGUAUCAUUCUUUUAAAGAAUAUGUAUUAAAACUCAGCUCACAAGUCUUAUCUUAAACUAGUUGAGACUUUCAAUAUUUCUCUAGAAGAGGAAAAUUAAGAUUUACAUGUCUCAUGGGUAAGAUUUUACUAAUGCCCUUGUGAUACUGGCCAUAGUGCUUUCAUUAACACCUAGUCACAGGCUAUACAGAAUGUCGUUUACAAAGAUGCAUAAUCAGUGCUGAGUAUUGAAUCUUUACUUAUUUUAGUAACGACUACUUAAUGUUCCAGUCCCUUCUUACUAAAAAUAUUCAAAAUAUAUUGACAACUUCACUUACUAUGACUCACUUUCAGGUAACAGCAUAAUUCUAUUCUAUUUACUCAACCAUCCUCUUAGAGUGUUUUCAAGUACUAGAAAGAAAAAAGCUUUUGGAAUCAAAUAAUGGCUAAAUGAUUGUAGUGCCAAACUGAAAUGAUGUGGGCAGGUUAAAAGUGAGCACUAAGAUGCUGGAGGCUGGAGGUAGCAAUUGCUUAGUGUGCAAAAAACCUUGUGUUCAAUCCCCACUAACACACAAAUAUUAAUUACUUUGUAGAAUUAGAAUAAGCAGAACCAUAUUAAGAAACAACCUGGGGUUCAAGAGUCCUGGCCUAUGAUAUGAGAGCACUGGACCCCAGCUGUGGGGUAAAAAUGAAUCUGCAGAAGUAAGCCCCUAAUGGCUUCUUAAAUCAAAUCAUUGGACAAUUGGUUAUAGUAAAAUUAAAUUCUGCUGUGGAUUAUUGAGAGGUCCUGGCCUGCCGGGGUCUACAUGAAUAUAGAACUGACAUAGUCAGAAAAGUAUUGUAAAUGGAUGGCUGAAUAAGCAGGGAAACAAUGUGCUAUGUGUAAGGAUACAGAAGAGAAGGAAGACACCAUGUAUAUUUUUUGUAAAAUGCAUUUUUCUACUUUCCCUGUUUCUACAGAGUGAAUCAUAAAUAGUUUGCACAUU